UCUAUUAGUUAUGUAUCUACCACAUAUGGCACCGACUACGUAUAAUACCUUAACCUCCUCCAAUGCUAAAAUUUAUUAUCCCUACGAUCAUACUAAUACCCCUGACUUGAUUAUCAAAAAACAACAUAAUUUGAAUUAA